rnacentral:rRNA from 1 species
AUUGAACGCUGGCGGCAGGCCUAACACAUGCAAGUCGAGCGGCAGCGGAAAGUAGCUUGCUACUUUGCCGGCGAGCGGCGGACGGGUGAGUAAUGUCUGGGAAACUGCCUGAUGGAGGGGGAUAACUACUGGAAACGGUAGCUAAUACCGCAUGACCUCGCAAGAGCAAAGUGGGGGACCUUCGGGCCUCACGCCAUCGGAUGUGCCCAGAUGGGAUUAGCUAGUAGGUGGGGUAAUGGCUCACCUAGGCGACGAUCCCUAGCUGGUCUGAGAGGAUGACCAGCCACACUGGAACUGAGACACGGUCCAGACUCCUACGGGAGGCAGCAGUGGGGAAUAUUGCACAAUGGGCGCAAGCCUGAUGCAGCCAUGCCGCGUGUGUGAAGAAGGCCUUCGGGUUGUAAAGCACUUUCAGCGAGGAGGAAGGGGUUGAGUUUAAUACGCUCAAUCAUUGACGUUACUCGCAGAAGAAGCACCGGCUAACUCCGUGCCAGCGGCCGCGGUAAUACGGAGGGUGCAAGCGUUAAUCGGAAUUACUGGGCGUAAAGCGCACGCAGGCGGUUUGUUAAGUCAGAUGUGAGAUCCCCGCGCUUAACGUGGGAACUGCAUUUGAAACUGGCAAGCUAGAGUCUUGUAGAGGGGGGUAGAAUUCCAGGUGUAGCGGUGAAAUGCGUAGAGAUCUGGAGGAAUACCGGUGGCGAAGGCGGCCCCCUGGACAAAGACUGACGCUCGGUGCGAAAGCGUGGGGAGCAAACAGG